rnacentral:rRNA from 1 species
CCUACGGGAGGCAGCAGUGAGGAAUUUUGGUCAAUGGACGAGAGUCUGAACCAGCCAAGUAGCGUGAAGGAUGACUGCCCUAUGGGUUGUAAACUUCUUUUAUAUGGGAAUAAAAUGUUCCACGUGUGGGAUUUUGUAUGUACCAUAUGAAUAAGGAUCGGCUAACUCCGUGCCAGCAGCCGCGGUAAUACGGCGGCUCCGAGCGUUAUCCGGAUUUAUUGGGUGUAAGGGGGGCGUAGGCGGAUUGUGAAGUCAGUUGUGAAAGUUUGCGGCGCAACCGUGAAAGUGCAGUUGAAACUGGCAGUCUGGAGUACAGUAGAGGUGGGCGGAAGUCGUGGGGUAGCGGUGAAAUGCUUAGAUAGCACGAAGAACUCCGAUUGCGAAGGCAGGUCACUGGACUGCAACGGACACUGAGGCUCGAAAGUGUGGGUAUCAAACAGGAUUAGAUACCCCAGUAGUC